rnacentral:lncRNA from 1 species
CUUGGCUUGCCCUUCAUGAAAGAAGCUAAGUGGAUUUAAAUUAGUUUCCUGAGAGUGAGGGUUGUUAAACACAAAAUGAGUGGUUAAAAAAAUAGGAAAAACCUUUACUGACAAAUGCGUUCAGACAUUAUGAUAAUGUUUCAGGCAAAAGCUUGAAACCCUUCCUCCUACAACAGAGUAUAUGCAAUCAAGUAUUUUCAUGAAAAUUUUAGUAAGGCGUAUCUCAUUUUAGCCUAACGGAAUAGCUUUUAAAAAAAUAUCUACCAACUUAUUUCUUUUCCUAACUUUUGAUUCACUAUAUACUUUAAAAACAUUUAAAGUUAUGUUGACUAAAAAUUAAAGUAACAGAUCUUAGAUGUUAAAUUUGUAGAAACUAGUCUCCAAAUUAGUUUCAGGCACAGAUAAAAGUUACAUUUUGCCAUUAAAAUGUGGGUAUUAAAAUAACCAGUUGUCUUGUGAAUUAUGAAGGUUAAAAACUUUUGCAAGCUUCUGCCGCAACCACAGAGAUGCACAGAUAAACGAAGAGAGAACAAAGCCUUGCUUUAAAACCGUUGGAUUUAAAUUCUGGAUUGGAAUUAAUGACCACAUCAGGGAAUUGGGAUUGUUUCUUCAGAGAGGAAAUCUACAAUAAAGGCCAUCAUUUCUACAGUAUCCUCACUAAAAUUUCUAUAGCAAACAUGUGAAUUUGGGUGAUUAGACAAAAACUAAAUAUAUUGUACUUAAUAUUUACAAAUAUAUAAUGGAUAUUAAUAUUGUUAUAGACACCUUGUAAUGCAGGCA